rnacentral:lncRNA from 1 species
CUUUCCUAACACGCUUGCGAAAUCUGCAGGCUCAUAUUUGCCUGACCUGCUCCUCUGACUCUGCCCCCAGAGAGUGAUAAAUAAUCCCUGGAAAACACAAGUUCUCAUGACCCCUUCAAAUGAUAAACAUUUAUAGUGGGUGCAACAUGAUCUCGUCUUCGGGCCUUUAUUUCCCUGCUUGCUUCCAGGAGCACUUCCCGUCUUGUCUUCCCAGCAUCCAACACAAGUACAAGCUUAAACUUCAGAAUCCAAGAGAUGACAUGGUACAGGAGAAUUGAGUCUCAACUUUUUUGGUUUCUCCAGACCCCAGCACAUAGCCCGGUAACCAGCAGGCACUUAAUAACUGUAUGGUCAAUCAACCAAUUCAUGUAUUUAAUGAAAGC